rnacentral:RNase_P_RNA from 1 species
UCUGCAGGCCGGCCUGUCGCGUCUCGUCGUUUACGGCGUGAUGAGGAAAGUCCGGAUAACACAGAGUACCGCACCACCUAACGGGUGGCUGUACGGCAACGUGCAAGAGAAAGUGCCACAGAAAAUAACUGCCCCGGUUUGUCCGGGGUCAAGGUGAAAACGUGGGGUAAGAGCCCACGAUGCAUGCUGGUAACAGCGUGCAUGGGUAAACCUUGCGGGUUACAAUGCCAAAUAAGCCGGAGUAUCCUU